rnacentral:SRP_RNA from 1 species
GAACCAGGUCAGGUCGGGAACGAAGCAGCCUUAAGGAGGUGUGGACUGUGCUGGUUUCCUUUUAUUCUG